GUCUCAGCAUGUGGUAAUGGUCCAGAAAGGUGUCAGGCCCAGAGUGAACUUAUCGUCAGGGGAUCAGGAACCACCUCUUCACUUUUCAAGACAAGAAAAGAGUCAGUCACCUGCUGAAAUGUGGUGCUGCCCUCAAUGCCUUGUGCUACAGAAACAGAUGGCCAGCCUUAAAGACAAAGUUGUGGCCAUGCAGCAUGUCAUUGACAAGAUCCAGAUCUCUUGAAAUGAAUGGUUAAAUCAAGAAUCUUCCCCACACAGAAGCAGC